UACGGGGGGGGCAAGCGUUGUUCGGAAUUACUGGGCGUAAAGGGCUCGUAGGCGGCCAACUAAGUCGGAUGUGAAAUCCCCAGGCUCAACCUGGGAACUGCAUCCGAUACUGGAUGGCUUGAGUUCGGGAGAGGGAUGUGGAAUUCCAGGUGUAGCGGUGAAAUGCGUAGAUAUCUGGAGGAACACCGGUGGCGAAGGCGGCAUCCUGGACCGGCAUUGACGCUGAGGCGCGAAAGCUAGGGGAGCAAACGGG
rnacentral:rRNA from 1 species